rnacentral:rRNA from 1 species
AACGAACGCUGGCGGCAGGCCUAACACAUGCAAGUCGAACGUGAAGCCACCUUCGGGUGGUGGAAAGUGGCAGACGGGUGAGUAACGCGUGGGAACAUACCCUUUGCUACGGAACAGUCCCGGGAAACUGGGUUUAAUACCGUAUACGCCCUUCGGGGGAAAGAUUUAUCGGCAAAGGAUUGGCCCGCGUUGGAUUAGGUAGUUGGUGGGGUAAAGGCCUACCAAGCCGACGAUCCAUAGCUGGUUUGAGAGGAUGAUCAGCCACACUGGGACUGAGACACGGCCCAGACUCCUACGGGAGGCAGCAGUGGGGAAUCUUAGACAAUGGGGGCAACCCUGAUCUAGCCAUGCCGCGUGAGUGAUGAAGGCCCUAGGGUUGUAAAGCUCUUUCAGCUGGGAAGAUAAUGACGGUACCAGCAGAAGAAGCCCCGGCUAACUCCGUGCCAGCAGCCGCCGUAACAC